UGUCAAUACCAAUCCAAAAUCCGAUAGCAAUUUCUGUUAAUCCGGAAUCCUAUAGGAUAUUAUCCGACAUAAAGGUUAUCGAACGUCAGAAACGAAAAGUUAUGGAAUAUUAUUCAGGAUAUCAUAACGGAACCGGUUGAGCCAGUUUCCGUUACGAUAAGUUCUGAUACCAAUAGGUGAUGCUUCUACAAAACCUACUUCUUCGUUCCCUCAAGUACCCGAUCUUGUUCCUUUCUUCUGUGCCACCUUCACUCUUCCAAAAUCCUCUUAUAGUCAAUAACUCUUUCAAUGUUUUUCUUUGACAUAUGAUUAUGAACUCUCUCACCUUUCCCUAAACUUUGAAGAAGAUGACUAUCUCACAGUUGAUUCAGUUGAUGAUAAAAUUAGUUGUCUUAUGUUGAUUCAGUAUCCUACUUAUUGAUAGUUAAUUCAGUUGUAUGAAUUCAGUAUUUUCCUGAAUCUUGCUUGAUUCAAUUGAUCUUACACGAGUUACGAAAUUAUUUUGAUUAUUAAUUUCAUGAAUUAAGUUUGAUUGAUUAUUGAUCUUCAUGGUGAAGAAUAAUAGAUUCAGUUCUCCGAGUUGAGUGGAUUUUCUGAAUUGGGUUUAUUAAAGUUGUGGAAAACAAAUUUUUUUUUAUUUUUUUUCUGCUUUCGAUUAGGUAUUGAGGUGCAGAUUUUAGUUCUUGGAGUUCACUAAUUCAAUAAUUCUAGAUGGUUGCUGAGAGUGUUUUAACUGAUUUUAAAUUUUAACGGAAUUUGUUGCAAAAAUAUUUAAUAUUUGAUAACCUUAACGAAACAGAACCGCAUAGGAUUUUUAGGAUUCCAUCAGACCACCAACAAAACGGGCCUGAUCUUUCCUCUCUCCAAAACUUCCCUCUCUCCAAAACUAUUCUCUCAACAAAAACACCAACUUUUCGAUCUUUCUCUGCUCAGAUCGGCUCAUUUGGAGAUGAUCUGAGUAGAUUAAUAACCACUAAUCGCUCUACUUUCUCUUGAUCUUUCUUCUAUGGUUUGUUAAUUUAAUUUUAGCUAUCAUUUUGGGUGUACUUUGGGUCAUGGGUUUAUUGAUUGUUUUUCAUCUUUUCUGCUUGGAUUCAUAUCUAUUGGAGCAAUUGUGGGUUGUAAUCAAUCAUAACAAAAAACUCGGAACAUAUCAUCUUCUUCUUCAGGGAAAAUCUGCGAGAAAAUGGAAGCAACAACAACAUCAUGGAUAAAUUCAUCUCCUCCAACUAAGCACAAAAGAAUUGCAGUACAAGACACUUCAUGCAAACUAUAUGGGAAAGAAGAAAAUGAGUCAAACAUCUUCUUCUUCCACUGCGACACAACAAGGGAGGUAUGUCAUUAGAAUUGCAGGAGUAUUUGGCAGAAGAGUUAAAUAGAGUUUUGACAUAAUUCAGAAUAUUAAAUCUAUUAUUAUAAUCUGGUCUUUUAGCUCAGAUAUAUUUCAUUUGGUUCCUACUGCAAUUAUCCUCUUUAAUUGGGAAGAUGUGAUUCUCAAGUUAUAAAACCAGUUGUAAAUCAUAGUAAUGGUUGCAAUCCUUUUAGCCAUAUAUGAUAUAAAACUCUUUGUCAUAAAUAAAUAAAUAUAUAAACUGAAUUCAGUCAGUAAAUUCAGUUAAAUUAA